rnacentral:lncRNA from 1 species
GUGCAUGAUAAUGAGUCCAAUAUUUCAAAUAGGUAUUGGAGGUGCCACACACCUGAUGUUUAUUACAUAUUAAAAUUAUCGUUCAUCAUAUGACCAUCAUGAUGUACCUUCAGAUCAAUGCUCAGGUUGGUCGAGCCAUACUCAGGCUUGAAUAUUUAUUUGUUGGAUACACUUGGUGUGUCAUGUUAAUGGUUAGACCUAAUCAAGAUUUUCAGUGGAGGUGCCACAUGCCUGCUGAAGAAAAAUGUGGGGUAAAACUUAUUGCUAAAAGUUGUUUGCAAAAAUAAUUGGUUAUGAACCUACCCAC